CUCUCUUUUUCCUUCUUGGACAUGGAGCUUUGCGCUCUAUAAGCGGCUCACUUAUAGGUGGGAAAGUGAAGAAGAGAAGCUUGUUCGUGUGGUUGAUGCACAAAGUAAACUUAGGUUUGUUGUCACUAACACAGCCACCCUCCCUCAGGUAAACCGUACUUAAAAGAAACCAGAGCGUGAUGCUUACUUUCCUCUCAAGUUAGCUGAGAGUCCAGCCUGUUGUUGUAUUGUAAAUCUAUGAUGAUGAUGAUAAAAGCCUCAGCGCUGGCAUCAAUGCAGCAGCAACGCCACCUAACAUCAUUCUCCUUUUCCUUUUUUUUUCUUUUCCUUUUUCGCCUACAGCUCCCGGGGCUGUUUCAGCAUUAGAAAUUAUUGAUGUCUUUACUGCCUAGAUGAGUGUUUGACAAAAACUGUGGGUAGUUAUGGUUCCACUGAAACUAUUAUAUUAGCAAGACAGGAUUGUGGCUUUUUGAGACACGGACUAAGUAUGCGUGUACACGUUUUUUUGUUUUUUUUGUUUACCGUAAGAUGUUUUUAACUUCAUCUGCAGAAUACUGGAUACCCUCCAGCUCUAUAUCAGCCAUUUUCACUGCUUUCAGCAUGACUCAGAAGGCCUUCCCGGGGGCUGCUGUCCGACUGAUGGGGGGAGUAGCAGGAAUGAUUUUGUGGAAAAGCGAAAAGAGGUAAAAUGAGCUGCUGACUGUCUCCUCAUCACUAACAUCACUGCAUCAACUAGAGACUCAGAGGCUCUGUACCUAAAGAUUCGCCAUUAUUAGCGCUGUAAAUACACUGCGGAAAAGAUGAUGUAACUGAGCAUUGUGUUCCUAUAAAAAAAAUUUUUUAAGACAACACUUAUCCAGUCAACUCAUGAAACUGGCUAUAAAGAUGUAGCCUAUAGGGUAUACAAGUCUCCAUGUUCAUAACUGGAAACUCACUGCAUCUUGGCAACAUAUCCCUCCUUAGUAACAAAAUGACUAAGUGCAUUCCUAGAUAUAGCCUUUAAAACAUACAGUAUACAGUUUUGCUUUAUUGCUUUGCUGAAAAAAUGGAUUAUCUCUUAAAAGAUCAGGUUAAU